rnacentral:tRNA from 1 species
GCCCAGGUAGCUCAGUGGUAGAGCACCUCUUUGGUAAAGAGGAGGUCGGCAGUUCGAUCCUGCUCCUGGGCUCCA